rnacentral:rRNA from 1 species
AGUGAACGCUGGCGGUAGGCCUAACACAUGCAAGUCGAACGGCAGCACAGUAAGAGCUUGCUCUUACGGGUGGCGAGUGGCGGACGGGUGAGGAAUACAUCGGAAUCUACUUUUUCGUGGGGGAUAACGUAGGGAAACUUACGCUAAUACCGCAUACGACCUACGGGUGAAAGCAGGGGAUCUUCGGACCUUGCGCGAUUGAAUGAGCCGAUGUCGGAUUAGCUAGUUGGCGGGGUAAAGGCCCACCAAGGCGACGAUCCGUAGCUGGUCUGAUCGGAUGAGCCGCCGCACGGGAGGUUAGACGCGGACAGUGGGCCUAGGGGACGGAGCAGGGGGGUAUGGUGGCCAGUGGGCGGAAUGAUGACACAACGGGUGCGAGUGGGUGGCAAAGGCGUCCGGGUAGGCAUGACGUUUUGUGGGGAAAAAACACCAGGCGGUUGAUACCACGCUGUUCGGACGGUACCAAAAGAAGAAGCAACGGCUAACUGCGUG